GGCUGGUGCUCCUCCUAGCUUCCAGAGACCCUCCGGGGCCCCCAGGUCCACAUGUGGAAAGUAAAGGGUUAAACUGGAGGAAAGGGGCCCCCAGGAAGUAGACCCCCUCGGAACUACAGGACAGUUCGACCUUAUUCCAACCCGGGUCUAACCUAAAUGUCUCCAACAGCAGGUCGCCCCUCUUGCGGGGCGCCUAAUGUUGGGGGACUAAGCACAUAGCCUGGGUAGGACUCCAGUGACCUUUUCUGGCCAGAACCAGUUUGUGACUGGGCCUAGACCGGACCACGGCCAGCGUUCUAGUGUUUGGGUGCUUGCGCCCCUGCAAAACCCGGAGUUCCACUGGGCAAGGGGGAACCAGGGCCAAAGUGGGACUUGACCGUUGCUCUCUGCCCACCCAUUACUUGCCGCCACCUCUUAGAUCCCCAAAUAACGCCCUAGAGCCCAAGGCCUAAAUGAUGCCCUACUUGGCACUGCCACCCGAUCUUCAAAAUUAUGAAACCUCCCAGGAACUGGUGAGGGAGAAGUUUUAGUUCUCCUUUUGGUGUCUUGCAGAGAAUUUCCUGGAGGUUCCACGCGCGUCUUGGAAGCCAUAAAGGCAAGGUGUCCAGACGCUGCGCCUCCAACCCGGCGCCCAAAGACGCAGGGCGGACACCUAGGAGCAGCCUGAAGGGCUGAACUCUUGACCCACACCUUCGGCUCCCCACUACUGGGUGAGGACACCCACCGGCCGAAACACCUGGAACCACAGACGCACCCUCUUAGCCCAGCGCCCCCGCUGGCUCGCCGGAGCACUGCAUUCUAAGGAGCAUCGAUAAGCCCACCAUUCGGAUACCACCCCACGGAGCUGCCACCCUAGAGCCCGAGAGCUGCAAGCCCAGAGCUCCCUUCGGCCUCCUUGGUUGUACUGGAGCCACGGGAGCCAGACAACUCCUGCAGCCCACCGGACGUGGUUCAGAACGAUGGCCUUCUUCCUUGGUAGCUUGCCCCAUGGCCUGGUUGGUGCCCACGCCCUGUAGUUCCCUCCUCCUUCCCAGCAGACCUGGGAAAGUUCCCAUCAUGCUUCAGGGGCAAGCGGACACAGGCAGCCGCAGCGGCAGCAGAAAUCCCUAAAUCUUGUAUAUGCUGUGGACUUAGGUUGCUCCAGAAGGACAGCAGUGUUUUGCGAGUCUGUUAAUCAGUCCCAGUUGGGGCCAUAAAAACCACAGCCACCUCUAUCAAUGGCUAAAAUAUUAAUUACUGAUGGAAAGUGUGGAAUCUGGGCACUGGAAUUCUUGGAACUCCAGUCCAAAUCCCUUGGAACUUGCAAAUGAGAAAAAGGAGGUCUGAAAAGUAGAUCUUGGGAGGCCAAACACCUGAUACUAAAGAUAAUCUCUUGAAUGUUGGUCAAUUAAGUCACAGUUUAAAAAUCACCUGGCUUCUAAAGCAGGCCCUUUAUCCCAAGAUUACUUUGACUUUGCAACAGCAGAAAGACAGAAAACCUCAUUAUCAGAUGCAGAUACCAGAAACCAAUGUUAUGAUUCCCAGGGGAUUUGCUCCAUCUCCCACAGACUCCUGAGGCUAGAAGAAUUCAGAAUUCCCAGUGGAACCAAGUCCUCAUCAGGAUGAAGUACAGGUGGUAUCUUGGCAUAGAAUCCUAGGGAUUAUCAACAUUUGUCCUGGGAGCCCACAAGAGGAAUUGCUACUCUCUCUUUAUUACAAAGUGUUUGGAUAUCAUUAAUCAUCAUCACCAUCGAGAACAGGAAGAUCAAUUGGCUAUACCUGGGAGGAGCCACCUGAUUGGUCUUUUAGGACCCAGUGACUGAUGAAACUCACUUGGCAAGAUGUGUCAUAGCAAAACCAUCACCAGGAGGGGCAGGGCCUUUCCCUUAAGCAGAGAGAAAUCAGAAAACAAUGGACCCCACAGAUGGUUCUAGUUACUUUCACUGUAAGCGUCUUUGCUGUAGUCAUCUUUGCUGUGAACAUUUUUGUCAAAUAACUAAGUAGCAGUAAGGCAAUUUUGCCAUUAAAGAUUAAAAAGUAG